GGAGAGUGUAAAGGUCAGCAGCCUUUUGUGUUUGGUCAACAAGCCUUUUGUGUCUGGUCAACAGUAACUGAGAAACACUGGGAAAGGAAGAGAGAGAGAGAGAUGGGGGAUUACAGACAAAUGGCCAUCCUUCCCUCAGAUGUCUUAAAUGUCUCAUUCAACAAAUAUUUAUUGAGCAUCAACUAUGUGCCAGGAACUCUUCUAGGAACUGAGGGUACAUCAGUAAGUAAAACAAACAGAAACCCCUGCCUUCAUGCAGCUUACAUUCUAAUGAGGGUAGACCCAAUCAUUAACCCUGUUUAUAGAUGGACACGAUCAGAGGGACUGUGUUAAUUUUUCAGGGUCGCCCAGCCAACAGAUGGCUUCUGGAGGAGGAACUAUUUGAUUUCAAAAUCUGUGCCCCAUCAACUGUAUCAUGACUGCUCCCAAAAGAAAUGUGACUGUGUCAGGGCAAGGCCAAAGUCAUAAGGGUCUAGUUCAUUUCCCAUUUAGUCAUCACGUGCUUUCAAAAAAAAGAGUGUGGGCAGCCCUCUUCUAUGGGCGGUGAUCCAGGGCUGCAGUGCUGGGCUGAGGGCAGGUCCCUUUCCUCAACCGGCAGACCUGGGCAGCUGCUCCAUAUCCAAGGCAGGGGACUCCAUGCUUCAGCCCCAGUUUAGCACCUAAGUCAGUGCAGGAACACUGCAGGCAGCUGCACAGUCGGGGGCCAUCACUUGCUGGGCUCUGGGCCGCAUAGAAUGCACCGAGAAGGCUGCCAUGAAGGACAGUUAGGUGCAGCCUGGCCAAAGGUCCCUUUUUGUUUUCCAUCAAAUCCAGUCGCCCAACCCUAGAUAACCAUCCACAAGGGGUUACUGUUUGUCUGUUUCCUGUGCUUAUUUGCUUUGAACAAAGGUGACUCUGACAAGCCCUGUGUGAUAGUCACUUCAGCCAUGUCUGACUCUUUGCGACCUGUAGCCUGCAGGGCUCCUCUGUCCUUGGAAUUCUGCAGGCAGGAAUACUGGAGUGGGUUGCAUUCCCUUCUCCAGGGGACCUUCCUGCACUGCGUGCAGGUUCUUUACCAUCUUUACCACCAGGGAAGCCCUGGUUCCCUG
ensembl:lncRNA